rnacentral:rRNA from 1 species
ACGGAAGGCAGCAGUGGGGAAUAUUGGACAAUGGGGGAAACCCUGAUCCAGCGACGCCGCGUGAGUGAAGAAGUAUUUCGGUAUGUAAAGCCCUAUCAGCAAGGAAGAAAAUGACGGUACUUGACUAAGAAGCUCCGGCUAAAUACGUGCCAGCAGCCGCGGUAAUACGUAUGGAGCAAGCGUUAUCCGGAUUUACUGGGUGUAAAGGGAGCGUAGACGGCAAAGCAAGUCUGAAGUGAAAUCCCGGGGCUCAACCCCGGAACUGCUUUGGAAACUGUUUAGCUAGAGUGCAGGAGAGGUAAGCGGAAUUCCUAGUGUAGCGGUGAAAUGCGUAGAUAUUAGGAGGAACACCAGUGGCGAAGGCAGCUUACUGGGCUGUAACUGACGUUGAGGCUCGAAAGCGUGGGGAGCAAACAGGAUUAGAUACCCUGGUA